rnacentral:rRNA from 1 species
ACGGGAGGCAGCAGUGGGGAAUAUUGCACAAUGGGGGAAACCCUGAUGUAGCGACGCCGCGUGAAGGAUGAAGGUCUUCGGAUCGUAAACUUUUGUCUUCAGGGACGAUAAUGACGGUACCUGAGGAGGAAGCCACGGCUAACUACGUGCCAGCAGCCGCGGUAAUACGUAGGUGGCAAGCGUUGUUCGGAUUUACUGGGUGUAAAGGGCGUGUAGGCGGGUUUUUAAGUCAGGUGUGAAAUCCCUCGGCUCAACCGAGGAACUGCACUUGAAACUGGAGAUCUUGAGUGUCGGAGAGGGAAGCGGAAUUCCUAGUGUAGCGGUGAAAUGCGUAGAUAUUAGGAGGAACACCGGUGGCGAAGGCGGCUUUCUGGACGAUAACUGACGCUGAGGCGCGAAAGCGUGGGGAGCAAACAGGAUUAGAUACCCUGGUA